ACCACCAUCUACCACCACUUCCUCCACCAAAAGCCGCAACCUCCAGGCAACCACGUCCUGGCCUCGCUCUUUCCCCUCCACCAUGAAGCGACCACUACUCCACGAAAUCCUGCCACUAGCAACCACCAGAUGCAACACCAGCGCCACCAUCAACCGAAGCGAACCCUAAGAGCCAUCGCGAGCCCAAACACCACCACCCACUUCUGUGACUCUAUCACAUAAAUCUCUCUCUCUCUCACGACAAGGGAAGUGGGCUGGAGAGUGGGGGUGACUAGUUUGACGAGGGAGGUGGUCGGAUGUCGUGGCGGUGGAGGGUGAGGGAGGGCCUGGAAGUGGUGGCGGCGGUGUACUCCUGAGUUGGCAGAGAUGGUCGUUUGCGAUGGCCGAAGUGAAAUUAGGGCUCAAUUUUAGGUUUUCUGUGCUUGACUAAAAUUUCAUAGUGGCACAAUUGUAAUAAAACAAAGUUGUGUACUCUUUUCAGCUUUUGGUUUGCAUGUAGAAGCUCCACUUCUUUUAAUGGUCCCUAUAGUUUUUCUAGAUUGACAUUUUG
rnacentral:lncRNA from 1 species